rnacentral:rRNA from 1 species
AACGAACGCUGGCGGCAGGCCUAACACAUGCAAGUCGAACGCUCCAGCAAUGGAGAGUGGCAGACGGGUGAGUAACGCGUGGGAACCUUCCCUAUGGUUCGGAAUAGCCCAGGGAAACGUGGGGUAAUACCGAAUAAGCCCUUCGGGGGAAAGAUUUCUCGCCAUUGGAUGGGCCCGCGUCGGAGUAGCUAGUUGGUGGGGUAACGGCCUACCAAGGCGACGAUCCGUAGCUGGUCGGAGAGGAUGAUCAGCCACACUGGGACUGAGACACGGCCCAGACUCCUACGGGAGGCAGCAGUGGGGAAUAUUGGACAAUGGGCGCAAGCCUGAUCCAGCCAUGCCGCGUGAGUGACGAAGGCCUUAGGGUUGUAAAGCUCUUUUGGCGGGGAAGAUAAUGACGGUACCCGCAGAAUAAGCUCCGGCUAACUUCGUGCCAGCAGCCGCCGUAACAC